GCAAGUCAACAAACAAAACAAAAACAAUCAAAAUAAACAGAUAUUAGGUGCAUGUGCUCUCGUCGGCCUCUGCCACAGUGUUACUACCCGUGUCAGCUUGUCGUCUCCGGUGUGCACAUGCACAAUACGUGCGAGUGGCCAACGGGUUGGGGGGAGGAAAUCAUCCUUCAGGAUGACCAGUCUGCCAGGUAUUCCGUCGUCCAGUGCUUCUAGAAGCGCUGCACCAUUACUUGCCACUUCUGCAAGUCGCUGAGGGUGCAGGAACGAAGAUGGGUGUAGUCCGGCUCGGGGACAGCAUGCAUCGAUGUGCCCACGAGAAAAUGCGCUGGGGUAAGU